AUUGAACGCUGGCGGCAGGCCUAACACAUGCAAGUCGAGCGGAUGACGGGAGCUUGCUCCUUGAUUCAGCGGCGGACGGGUGAGUAAUGCCUAGGAAUCUGCCUGGUAGUGGGGGACAACGUUUCGAAAGGAACGCUAAUACCGCAUACGUCCUACGGGAGAAAGCAGGGGACCUUCGGGCCUUGCGCUAUCAGAUGAGCCUAGGUCGGAUUAGCUAGUAGGUGAGGUAAUGGCUCACCUAGGCGACGAUCCGUAACUGGUCUGAGAGGAUGAUCACUCACACUGGAACUGAGACACAGUCCAGAGUCCUACGGGAGGCAGCAGUGGGGAAUAUUGGACAAUGGGCGAAAGCCUGAUCCAGCCAUGCCGCGUGUGUGAAGAAGGUCUUCGGAUUGUAGAGCACUUUAAGUUGGGAGGAAGGGUUGUACGUUAAUACCGUGCAAUUUUGACGUUACCGACAGAAUAAGCACCGGCUAACUCUGUGCCAGCAGCCGCGGUAAAAC
rnacentral:rRNA from 1 species